rnacentral:tRNA from 1 species
ACUAUUUUGGCAGAUAAGUGCAAUAAAUUUAGAAUUUAUGUAUAUAGGUUAAAAACUCUAUAAAUAGUA